rnacentral:rRNA from 1 species
UACGUAGGGUGCGAGCGUUAAUCGGAAUUACUGGGCGUAAAGCGUGCGCAGGCGGUUUUGUAAGCCAGAUGUGAAAUCCCCGGGCUUAACCUGGGAAUGGCAUUUGGGACUGCAAGGCUUGAGUGCGGCAGAGGAGACUGGAAUUCCUGGUGUAGCAGUGAAAUGCGUAGAUAUCAGGAGGAACACCGAUGGCGAAGGCAGGUCUCUGGGCUGACACUGACGCUCAUGCACGAAGGCGUGGGGAGCAAACAGG